UACAGAGGUCUCAAGCGUUGUUCGGAUUCAUUGGGCGUAAAGGGUGCGUAGGCGGCGCGGUAAGUCGGGUGUGAAAUCUCGGAGCUUAACUCCGAAACUGCAUUCGAUACUGCCGUGCUUGAGGACUGGAGAGGAGACUGGAAUUUACGGUGUAGCAGUGAAAUGCGUAGAUAUCGAGAGGAACACCAGUGGCGAAGGCGAGUCUCUGGACAUUUCCUGACGCUGAGGCACGAAAGCCAGGGGAGCAAACGGG
rnacentral:rRNA from 1 species